AAAAAAAAAAAAGUGCCUUUUGCCCCUUCGAGGAAAUCCUUUUUCGAGCAGGCCACGGACUGCGAGUGUUUGGGAGUUAGGGGAGAAUGGUGUCUGUAGGGCUUUUUUGUGGGUGUUUUGGCAGCCGCAGCGUGUGGGGGUGGGGGGAAUAGAACGUCUCAACUGACCCCUUGUCCUCUUGGGCUCCAGAGGCGGGAUGGGGGGUCUCGCCAGCGAACCCCCGAUAUCCACGGAGCCGCUUGCGCUCAUCAGUCUCCACAUCCUCCCCAACCUCGCCCUUCCCUGACCUGAGCCUUGAGGAGGGCAAAAAAAGUAGUGUGCUUGGUACCUAGGGGGCUCAAAAGACGACGAAAACGCGCGAGGCGUCGUUCCCUUUUUUUUGGGUGGGGGGGAGACGGAAAUCGCAGCUCGCGGGCAGGCUUUUCGGGGCUCCCGGGCGCGCCUGCGCUGCCAAGGCGAAGGAGGACAAAAGGCUGGCGUCCAUGUUGGCGCCAUGACGCAGCAUCUCCCGCCGGAGCCGGGCGCCCGGCGCCGUGGGCCUCCGGGCCGCGCUCGCUCCUCCCUCCCAAACACCAAUGUUAUUUUCAGGUUUUGAGAGGAGCCGCCAGUUGGGCUGUGGCUGUGGCGGCCGCGCGGGCCAAGCCGGGCGGAGAGCCUCUGACUGGCUAAUGGCGGCCGGUUCUCCUCUUCCUUCUUCUUCCCGGCAGUCGUUGGGAGGCCCGGGCCGGAGGCGGCUCCCGCGGCCGGGCUAGCACCGAGCGACUGCGGGGUACAUCGCCCCCGGAUCGGGCGCGGGUCGCGGGGCUGCUUCGGGGACUUGGGGGCCUCAGGGGCGUCGCAUGCCUUGGCUCCCGGCGCUCGCCUGCUUUGGGCGCGGCGGCCAGACGGGCGCCAUUUCGCGCGCCGCCUGCGGCUCGGGCGGUGGCCGCGACAGCGCCUGGCGAGGAGAGCAAGGGCGGCCGGGAAAGCCGCCGCCCGCGACCCACGUCCCCCAGAGCCGAGGCCGGAAGGAUGCGGGCCACUGGGAAACCCCGCAGUGCUCCCUGCCCCGACCUAGGCCCAUCCUCCACGAGGAGGCCUUGGUCGCCUGCUGGCCGCUGGUGCGCUUCCUUCCCCAGCAAAGGACCUCAGGGCCAGCCAGGUUCUCGAGGCCACUACGAACUGCUCUGUACCCCAGUUCUGACCCCAGGACAGCCGGCCUGAGUUCCCUACCCUGCCUUCCCAUAACUUCUGACAAACAGCCAAGCGGAGGGGCAGGAACCGCUUUGUCCCCCACUUUCUGCGUGAGGCCACCGCGCUGGCUCCAGGGGCUGCCCUUUUGGGCCGCACCCCUCUAGACUUGCGUUGUAUGCCGGAAAUGGGGGCUGGAGGCUUGGAAUGGUUUAGUGGGCCGCACCCUGGUCCCCAGGCCCUUCUUUGGGGAGGGGAUGGGCACUGGGCGCGCCUUUCAAAAUGCUGAGGAGUCGCAGCCUGGUCGCAAUCGUGGGGACUCAGCCGCCGCCCCGCCUCCAUCCCCGCUGGGGUGAGGGGCCCUGGGUUGGGGUCCUGGAGCGCGUUCCUUAGGCUCCCUGUCUGUCAGCCGAGGGUCUUCACCAGCCCGUUUGUCGCCCACCCCCGGGGGGCUACCCUGACGAUCCCCCUCCACCUUGCUCUCCAGGUUUCUGGCUGGCACCCCCUGGGUGGGCAGCCCUGCUUGAUUCCGACUAAAGGAGCAGGCCCAGCUUGAAUCUGACAGUCGUCCCACUAAGUGCUGCCUGAGUGCCAGAGUCCCCUCAGGGCUAUGCUGAGGCAGCUACACAGGUAAGUGGGCCCCACCUCCCCUGUCCCUGGCCUCUGCUGAUGUCCCCACCUUGUGGCCUGGUGUCCUCGUGUCCCUCUCCUGCCCUCCAUUGGAGCCCUGCCAGGCCAGGGGGCUUCUGGCUAUCUGCACUGGCCCGAGCCAGCUGCUGUCCUAGAAGUGGCGGACUGUGAGCCCCUGGCGUGCAGGAGCACAACUGCCUCUCAAUAAACGCAUUUCAAACGAGAA